UACGUAGGGGCAAGCGUUGUCCGGAUUUAUUGGGCGUAAAGAGCGUGUAGGCGGCCAGGUAGGUCAGCUGUGAAACUCGAGGCUCAACCUCGAGACGUCGGUUGAAACCACCUGGCUAGAGUCCGGAAGAGGAGAGUGGAAUUCCUGGUGUAGCGGUGAAAUGCGCAGAUAUCAGGAAGAACACCCGUGGCGAAGGCGGCUCUCUGGGACGGUACUGACGCUGAGACGCGAAAGCGUGGGGGAGCGAAACAGG
rnacentral:rRNA from 1 species